AUAUGGAAUUUGGGUGAGAUAGAUGAAAGAAACAAGGAGGGCUAGCAAGAAAUAGAAAGAAAGAGAAAGAGNAGGGGAAGACUGGACAAAACAGAAUGGAAAGAGGAGGGUAUGAACUAACAAUAGUUGAAUAACUAACUUAGGACAUCCUUGUUUUAUUUAUAUUUAAAUAUCAUAUUGUGCAAUUAUAGAGGGAUCACUACAAGAGGUUACCAUUCGAAAUCAGACCUUUCUUAUGGCCAAAAAGAGGUUGAAAAUCACUUCAUCAAACCACCAAAAUCAGGUUUCAUUGUUUCAAAAGCUUAAGCAACACAGAAACAAACAUAAGGAAGUAUAAAUGCAUUGAACUAAGCUAGAACAAUGAANCUUAGCAUGAUUAACUAAGGACAACUAUUUAAUAAAGUGACAACUAAGGACACCAUGACUAACACAGGGGUAAACCAAAAAAAAAAACCUUUAUGUUAUGUUUGGCCUUGUAAUAUUUGGUGACUACUUGUACAUGUAUAUCAAAUUCACAUUUUAAGUAUUUUGCUUUUUUUUAAUAUUGUCACUGGAUUGGAUACUAUGCAAUCUUUAGACACUAACAAAGGAGCAUUCAACUUAAGGUGGAACAUAUUUUGAUUGGUUCCUCCAGUAUGAUUAACUAUCAAGAUACUUGGUGAUCUCUACAAAAAUUAUAAUGAAAUACUAAUUGAUAUUAACUAUUUUGUAUAAAAAUGNUUGUAUUGUUAUACAAACUCCCAUGCUUCUUACACCAAAUAGGUAAAUAGAAGUAUUUAUGAUCAUAAAGCCCNA
rnacentral:lncRNA from 1 species